rnacentral:rRNA from 1 species
UACGAAGGGGGCUAGCGUUGCUCGGAAUGACUGGGCGUAAAGGGCGCGUAGGCGGCGAUCAAAGUCAGGCGUGAAAUUCCUGGGCUCAACCUGGGGGCUGCGCUUGAUACUUGGUUGCUUGAGUGGGGAAGAGGGUCGUGGAAUUCCCAGUGUAGAGGUGAAAUUCGUAGAUAUUGGGAAGAACACCGGUGGCGAGGGCGGCGACCUGGUCCUUGACUGACGCUGAGGCGCGAAAGCGUGGGGAGCAAACAGG